UACGUAGGGUGCGAGCGUUGUCCGGAAUUAUUGGGCGUAAAGAGCUCGUAGGCGGUUUGUCGCGUCGGCCGUGAAAUCUCCACGCUUAACGUGGAGCGUGCGGUCGAUACGGGCAGACUUGAGUUCGGUAGGGGAGACUGGAAUUCCUGGUGUAGCGGUGAAAUGCGCAGAGUAUCAGGAGGAACACCCGGUGGCGAAGGCGGGGUCUCUGGGCAACUACUGACGCUGGAGGAGCGAAAGCGUGGGGAGCAAACAGG
rnacentral:rRNA from 1 species